rnacentral:rRNA from 1 species
UGGGAAUUUUGGACAAUGGGCGCAAGCCUGAUCCAGCAAUGCCGCGUGCAGGAUGAAGGCCUUCGGGUUGUAAACUGCUUUUGUACGGAGCGAAAAGGUCUGCCCUAAUACGGUGGGCUCAUGACGGUACCGUAAGAAUAAGCACCGGCUAACUACGUGCCAGCAGCCGCGGUAAUACGUAGGGUGCGAGCGUUAAUCGGAAUUACUGGUCGUAAAGCGUGCGCAGGCGGUUAUAUAAGACAGAUGUGAAAUCCCCGGGCUCAACCUGGGACCUGCAUUUGUGAAUGUAUAGCUAGAGUACGGUAGAGGGGGAUGGAAUUCCGCGUGUAGCAGUGAAAUGCGUAGAUAUGCGGAGGAACACCGAUGGCGAAGGCAAUCCCCUGGACCUGUACUGACGCUCAUGCACGAAAGCGUGGGGAGCAAACA